rnacentral:misc_RNA from 1 species
AUUAUUAUUAUUAUUAUUAUUUUGAGAAUAAAGCAAAUUUAAUAAAACCAACGAAAACAAGAAACAUCCAAGUUUGCAGUGUAAGAAACAAAAGAUGGCAUUUCUUCAAGCCAAAUAUCCUCAUCAGAGGAGGUGAUUGCAUCCUUGGCAAGAGCAUGCACUAGCUGGUUUGCUCUGCGUGGAACAUAGGCAAAGCUGAUAUCGUUGAAAGAAGUUGCAGCAGUGAUGGUGUCUUCAACACAUAGCGCUUGUAGAGGAGAAAAAGCAAUACUUCUGUUCAGAGCUCUGAUGUUAGAGAGGCUGUCGCUGUUAACAACGAUACUACAGAAGCCUACACUGCUGAUAGAGCUAACUGAACACCAUAUCAAACAGCAUGUGCCUCUGCCAACUUGGAGUCCCAUGUAGACCUAAAGCCCUUUCAACACAAUUCCUAUGUCAUCCCUUGCUGCAAUACCCAUACUAACAUGACCAGACUCCACACAGGCAGUUUCAAUAUUUAACUGAUAAAGGUGAUCUGGUGGUGGCAUCCAGGAUUCUCGGAUAUGAUGUCUCUCUGAGAUCUCACUUCAGUCACAGGCAUUCUUAAAUUCCAGCCAUGAAGACAAGCCUCUGUUAAUAACCCUGAGAACGUCUGGAGUGAGCUUUUGAGCACUGCAUUGUUUCUCUCUUUCCAAAUGCUCCAAGCCAUCAUGGCCAAGAGCUCCACAUGCUCUUUGUCUUUCUCUUUAAACAACCACUGUAUAAUACAAGCUCCAGCUGAAAUCGCAAAGGGCAUAAAUACCAACACUAGUAGCAAAAGAGCAAUGGAAUAGUUUCUUCUUCUUA